AGUGAACGCUGGCGGUAGGCCUAACACAUGCAAGUCGAACGGCAGCACAGUAAGAGCUUGCUCUUACGGGUGGCGAGUGGCGGACGGGUGAGGAAUACAUCGGAAUCUACUUUUUCGUGGGGGAUAACGUAGGGAAACUUACGCUAAUACCGCAUACGACCUACGGGUGAAAGCAGGGGAUCUUCGGACCUUGCGCGAUUGAAUGAGCCGAUGUCGGAUUAGCUAGUUGGCGGGGUAAAGGCCCACCAAGGCGACGAUCCGUAGCUGGUCUGAGAGGAUGAUCAGCCACACUGGAACUGAGACACGGUCCAGACUCCUACGGGGGGCAGCAGUGGGGAAUAUUGGACAAUGGGCGCAAGCCUGAUCCAGCCAUACCGCGUGGGUGAAGAAGGCCUUCGGGUUGUAAAGCCCCUUUGUUGGGAAAGAAAAGCAGCAGGUUAAUACCCCGCUGUUCUGACGGUACCCAAAGAAUAAGCACCGGCUAACUUCGUG
rnacentral:rRNA from 1 species